CCUACGGGCGGCAGCAGUAGGGAAUCUUCCACAAUGGGCGAAAGCCUGAUGGAGCAACGCCGCGUGAGUGAAGAAGGUCUUCGGAUCGUAAAACUCUGUCGUUAGAGAAGAAAGCGCGUGAGUGUAACUGUUCACGUUUCGACGGUAACUAACCAGAAAGCAACGGCUAACUACGUGCCAGCAGCCGCGGUAAUACGUAGGUGGCAAGCGUUAUCCGGAUUUAUUGGGCGUAAAGGGAACGCAGGCGGUCUAUUAAGUCUGAUGUGAAAGCCUUCGGCUUAACCGGAGUAGUGCAUUGGAAACUGGGAGGCUAGAGUGCAUAAGAGAGGGGUAGAACUCCAUGUGUAGCGGUGAAAUGCGUAGAGAUAUGGAGGAACACCGAAGGCGAAAGCAGCUCUUUGGU
rnacentral:rRNA from 1 species